AAGGUUUUAGGUUAAUUAAACCCAUAGCCUUCAAAGCUGUAAAUAGAGAGAGUUCUUUAAACCUUA
rnacentral:tRNA from 1 species